AGGCCGCCCAGGAAGCCCUCAUUGCCGCAGCAGAGCUGCUCAAGAAGAAACAGCUCCAACACCUGGCACAGACACAGCAGACGUGGCGGACUGGAGAGUAUUUGCUGAAGCAGGACAGGAGGAGGGCUAAAGAGUUCUUGAAUCGGAGCCGGCCGUACCUGAAGAACGAACAGGCCAGCUUGCGAGAGGCAGCCGUGAGGUUCAUUGGGCUUGCUGCGCAGCACCUGAGGGACGCAAGCGAGGUGGAGCUGGCGGAGAUCUGCAGCGCCCUCCAGCCCUUGGAGACGGACAGCGAACCCUCCCUCUGCUGCCUGGCCGCUCAGACCAUUGCGAUCCUGAGCUCUUCGAGGAAGCAGCCAAGAUCACGAUGGAGCUUGCGAGCCCUGUGCUGCUGGUGCAGCUAAACCAGGCAGAGGAGCAGCUCUUCUUGGGAAUAACAGCUCGAUUUUAAUAAAGAGCCCUUCUUGGAGCUGGCUUUGAUGUCUGCCUUUUCCAAGGACCCCAGAACCUCUCUGAUUGUUCUGGCAGUUUUGAGAGCACAGUCCGGCAUCAUGGGCAAGGCUGAGGCAGCAGACAAGAACACUUGCAAUGAGCCUGUCCAGGGCAGCUGAGAUGUAGCUCACUGGGCCAGUGGGGUUUGUUCCUGGAGUCACUCACCUCAUGUACAUGCAGUACACGCUCACAUCUCAUCUGCACAGCGCAAACAUGGACUGCUGACCUACUCAUUCACUAUCCCUCCAUGGAGCGAAGAACAACCUCUGUUAGCUGGGGUGAGAGGUCGGGGUUGGAAAUGGUGGUUUUGAGGGGCCACUCCAUGAGGAUUGCCAGGGGGCAGCUUCUGCGGGGUGUCCAGUGCACAGAUGAGAGGAGAAGCCACUAAGGGUGACACUGUCCCGGCAGUUAGAAACUACUUGACCAGGAAGAGUAAGCAGGAAAUGUUUUCUGACGGCAACCCCAAGAAGCCUCCAGCUGAACGAGCAGGUUCCUGUAGGGCACUGUAAGGUUCCUGGCACUCGCUCACCAGGCAAAGCAAUAGGCUGACAACAGUGUGGAGGACCUUGCGGGGACUGCAUAGCAGAGCUGCUAAACUGGUGGGUCAAUAAGGGCGAUGCUCACCUGAACCUGGUCCUGGUCAGCAAGGAAGCGCUGAUCGGGCAUGUGGUCAUCAGUGUCAGCCUUGGGUGGCGCUUGGGACAUAGUGAGGUCCCAGGUGCCAAAGGGCAGUGAGUAAGGCCAGCAGCAGAGCACAGACCUGGGACUCCAGAGGAGGCAACUUUCAUUGAAUCGGGGGGCUGAUACAAGUGGUGUCAUGGGAAGCAGCUCUGAAGUUUGUAGAAAACAGAUAGGCCUUACAGGACAGCCUCUUCCAAGCACAAGAAUGAUCUCUACAAGUACCCCUAAAAAGCCAACAUCUAUCUUAUGAGGCUGAUGGUCAUAGCUGAUAGAGCUCCAGGGCAACAAGACAGAACAGAGGAGGUGGAAGCAGGGGAAGCUGCAAAGGAGGAAUUCCUCGGAUCAGCUGACUGAAGCCAGCUUGGCCGGAGCCGGGAGGGAAAUCUCGAAGCUACAGAGGUAAGAGAGGGUAAAGAGAGGGGUUUCUGGUCGCGUUUUUGAUUCUGCUACCCGGGAGUCCCCGGCAGCCCUUGCGGAACCGGCUGACGUGGCGCGGCCGUUACCACGGUGACGGAAGU